CCGGGGACUGACCUCAGGAUGUUGUGCUUGUGAGGCAGGCAGUGGCACCACUGAGCUAAAUUUCCUGCCCUGGAUGACUUUUUUCUUAACCAGGGGAAGCAAAGGACUAAGUUAUUGACUCCACUUAAGCCGGACAACUUCAUAAAGGAGAGCAACAGAGUUUGGGGCAACCAUGACAGAAUGGCAGCCAUGAAGAGAAAAGAAGCUCAGACAUGGUCAAAACUCAAGAGGGACACAGAGAGAUGCCUGCUUAGUGCUUCUUUUCUGAAGAUUCUUCUUAUGUGUAAAACUGACUGUUCUGCUAUUGGUCUUUUAUGUCUGCUGAUGUCCUCUGGGCCACUACUGAGGGACGAACAGCGGACUCAGAAAUUGUGAGAAACUCAAGCAAGGCCCCAUACACAAAGGGAAUCAAACUCAGGACCUUGUGCUUGCCGGGCAGACAUGGUGCCACUUAGCUAAAUCCUCAACCCUCAAACACUCUAUAUGUUAAUCAACAGAAGACUCAUUAAAUGCAUUAUAAUACAUCCACAUAAUGAAAUACUCUGCAACUGUAAAGAAGGGGAUUUUUAUAUAGCACAAAAGGAUCUCACUUCUUCCAGCCCUCCAGCAUGUUGACAGUCUCCUUUUGUCAUGGCUUCUAUCUAGAUGCCCCCCCACAAGCCUCAUGUGCUCAUAGCCAAAACUUUUGAUGACAUAAUUGCAAAUGAGAAGAUGACACGUUCUGGAUCACCUAGGGACCAGGACAACUACAUCAAGAAAAGUCUUCACAACUCGACUCACAAUAGAUGGACUUGUUCUCUGUAUGUCGGUCGCUCUGUAUUGCUUCACAAAACCUAAAAAAGUACACCUGCCAGAUAUCUUGUUUGAUUCCCUUUGGGGUCUUUUAAUGCACACCUUAGGGGAUUGGGGUGGAAUGGUGUGAGCAGGACAGAAGCCGUCUUACACGUCUGUCUGUUUCUAAACUAGCUUGUGAUAACCAUACAACUGGUGUGCCUGUGUGAUAAUUUGUGUGGUAACUGUAUAAUGUGAUAGCCAUAUGGCCUGUGUGCCAGAAAACUUAUCUUGUGAAUCCUCUCAAGAAACUUAUAAAAACAUGUUUUCUAAAAAAUUUAUUUUUAUCAUAAAGAGAAAUACAUUUUUACCAGCAAGGAUUAGCACAUGUUAUUUGUACACCACUGUAAGAUUAGUAUGUGUUGUUUGUAUUUGACUCCCAUGGCAUAAAAGACAAAGCUUCCAGCUGCUCUUUGGUUCAGUCUUUGGGCUCACAGUUUGUGGACUCUGUUCUGGGUACGCUCUUCUGCAACUGUCUGUGUCACUCUGCCCAUCCAGAAGGCCCUGUCUGGCUCCCUGGCUGUACCCUGGCUGUCACCAUGAGUUCUACUGCUGCCCAUGGGACCUCUCCUUGUUCUCAUGGCAGCGUGUUGUCUGCGUAGAAGGAAGAUCCUGCACCACUCCAGCUUCUAGCUUAUGCUGUGGGUGAGAUCCCCUCUGUCUUUCUGUGAAUGUGACAAAUGCUCAAUAAACUGCUGCAUUCAGGAGAUUGCUUGAUUCUUGGGGUCUUUGUUUGGUGGACACACUGACUCCAUUUGGCUCCUCUGUGCCCCAGGAUGGCCUAACUCACAGGGCCUUUGGGUCUCGAGAGUGUCCUCCACAUCUACUUGUGACAAGUAGUAUUGGUUUAGAAAAAAUAUUGUCUGCAUGGAGCUAUGGAGUAUUGAUUUCCAUUCUUUAUAGCUAAUUUUGGUCGUGGAAUCGAUUAAGACAAAAUUGGCAAUAAACUUUGAGCUAUUAUCUGAUGACAGUUGGCCUCAAAGUGAAAGUGAAGAAGCAGCAAAGUGUAUCCUUUUUCCCAGUUCUAUUCAUCUAGGUCACGACACUUGAGUGCCAUCUCUUCGGUGAUACAGAGCCAUAAAGUUCUCUAACCUUAACUUUUUGUGGGGGCCCUUUGGCAACUUGAGAUAGCUUGUAGAUAUUUUCCAUAGAUGGCCACAAAAGUAUCUCCUGUCCCAUGUCCUCUUCCACAGUAUGAACUUGUCACUUCCUCAUCAAGGAUAGGACUGAAUUUUCUUUCACUUGACUCUGGCUGGACUUAGUGGCUUCCAUGUACGGUGGAAGGUUUAGCACAUGAGCAUACAGGUUUCCAGAUGAAUUUGAAUUUCCAAUAAACUUGCGUGAUGAGAAUGUUCUAUGUCUGUACUGUACCGUACCACAGUACAUUUUCAGCCAUUUGCAGCUAUGGAACCCUAAAAUAUGACACGCCACUGAGUAAUUGAACUUUAUAUUUCAUUUCAAUUUAAUUAAUUUAAAUCCAUAUUUAAAUAGCUACAUGUACCUAGUGGCUAUCAUAUUGUACUGUGUAGUUGUACAUGAUUUCAGUGCCCAGCCCUUGAAGUCACCCUUAUCUGUUUGAGAGGGAAAACACCCCAACAGUGCUCUGUCCAAAUUCCUAACUCACAGAAUUUGGGAGCCCAAUAAAAUGGUGAUUUUAUAUUGCUAAGUUCAAAGUGAAGUGUGUGAAGUAGAGGAGGAUGCCAAGCCUGAGGUCCCCAGGCCAGUUACGUGAGUGUGUGAAGAGAAGG